AUGGCGCACCGGCGCGCCCGGUUCUUGGUGGCGGCGCUCUUGGUGACCGCGCUGGUGCUCCGGCCGGCCGCGGCGCUGUCCCCGGACGGCAAGGCGCUGCUGUCUUUGCUCCCGACGGCGCCGUCGCCGGUGCUGCCGUCCUGGGACCCGUCGGCCGCGACGCCGUGCUCGUGGCAGGGGGUCACCUGCUCGCCGCAGAGCCGGGUGGUGUCGCUCUCUCUGCCCAACACCUUCCUCAACCUCUCCACCCUCCCGCCGCCGCUCGCCUCGCUCUCCUCGCUCCAGCUGCUCAACCUCUCCACCUGCAACAUCUCCGGGACCAUCCCGCCGUCCUACGCGUCCCUCGCGGCCCUCCGCGUGCUGGACCUCUCGUCGAACGCGCUCUACGGCGCCAUACCCGGCGAGCUCGGCGCGCUGUCGGGGCUCCAGUACCUGUUCCUCAACUCCAACCGCUUCACGGGUGCCAUCCCGCGCUCCCUCGCCAACCUCUCCGCGCUCGAGGUGCUCUGCAUCCAGGACAACCUCUUCAACGGCACCAUCCCGGCGUCCUUGGGCGCGCUCACCGCGCUCCAGCAGCUCCGCGUUGGGGGCAACCCGGGGCUGUCGGGCCUUAUUCCGUCCUCCCUCGGCGCGCUCUCCAACCUCACCGUCUUCGGCGGCGCGGCCACCGGGCUAUCUGGCCCCAUCCCGGAGGAGCUCGGCAACCUCGUCAACCUCCAAACGCUGGCAUUGUACGACACCGGCUUGUCCGGCCCCGUGCCGGCGGCGCUCGGCGGGUGCGUCGAGCUGCGCAACCUCUACCUCCACAUGAACAAGCUCUCCGGGCCGAUACCGCCCGAGCUCGGAAGGCUGCAGAAGAUCACCAGCCUGCUGCUCUGGGGCAAUGCCCUGUCCGGGAAGAUCCCGCCGGAGCUCUCCAACUGCUCGGCAUUGGUGGUGCUCGACCUGUCGGGCAACCGGCUCUCAGGCCAGGUGCCCGGGGCGCUCGGGCGUCUCGGCGCGCUCGAGCAGCUGCACCUAUCGGACAACCAGCUCACGGGGCGCAUACCGGCGGUGCUGAGCAACUGCAGCAGCCUCACCGCCCUGCAGCUCGACAAGAACGGCCUCUCCGGGGAGAUACCGGCGCAGCUCGGGGAGCUCAAGGCGCUGCAGGUGUUGUUCCUCUGGGGCAAUGCGCUGUCCGGCUCGAUACCGCCGUCGCUGGGCGACUGCACCGAGCUGUACGCGCUGGACCUGUCCAAGAACCGGCUCACCGGCGGCAUCCCCGACGAGGUCUUCGGACUCCAGAAGCUCAGCAAGCUGCUCCUGCUCGGCAACGCGCUGUCGGGGCCGCUCCCUCCAAGCGUGGCCGACUGCGUGUCACUGGUCCGGCUCCGGCUCGGCGAGAACCUGCUCGCCGGCGAGAUUCCCAGGGAGAUCGGCAAGCUGCAGAACCUGGUGUUCCUGGACCUGUACUCGAACAGGUUCACCGGGCACCUCCCCGCCGAGCUGGCCAACAUCACGGUGCUGGAGCUGCUCGACGUGCACAACAACAGCUUCACGGGGUCCAUCCCUCCGCAGUUCGGGGCGCUCAUGAACCUGGAGCAGCUUGACCUCAGCAUGAACAACCUCACGGGCGAGAUGCCGGCGAGCUUCGGCAACUUCAGCUACCUCAACAAGCUCAUCCUCAGCAGGAACAUGCUCUCUGGGCCACUGCCCAAGUCGAUUCAGAACCUGCAGAAGCUGACCAUGCUGGACCUGAGCAACAACAGCUUCUCCGGCCCGAUACCGCCGGAGAUCGGCGCGCUGUCAAGCCUCAGCAUCAGCCUGGACCUGAGCGGGAACAGGUUCGCCGGCGAGCUGCCGGAGGAGAUGUCCGGCCUGACGCAGCUGCAGUCGCUCGACCUGUCGAGCAAUGGCCUGUACGGCAGCAUCUCGGUGCUCGGGGCGCUCACCAGCCUGACGUCCCUCAACAUCUCAUACAACAACUUCUCCGGCGCCAUCCCGGUGACGCCGUUCUUCAAGACGCUGUCGUCAAACUCCUACACCGGCAAUCCCAGCCUGUGUGAGUCCUAUGACGGGCACAUUUGUGCGUCAGACAUGGUUCGUCGGACCACUCUGAAGACCGUCAGGACCGUGAUCCUUGUCUGCGCCGUUUUAGGCUCGAUCACUCUGCUGCUUGUCGUGGUCUGGAUACUGUUCAACAGAAGCAGGAGGCUCGAGGGUGAGAAGAAGGCGAGCCUGUCGGCCGCCGGCGGCAACGACUUCUCGUACCCGUGGACGUUCACGCCAUUCCAGAAGCUCAACUUCUGCGUGGACAACAUCUUGGAGUGCCUCAAGGAUGAGAAUGUGAUCGGCAAAGGCUGCUCAGGAGUCGUGUACAGAGCUGAGAUGCCCAACGGCGACAUCAUCGCGGUGAAGAAGCUCUGGAAGACGACCAAGGAGGAGCCGAUCGACGCUUUCGCUGCUGAGAUUCAGAUAUUGGGUCACAUCAGGCACCGGAACAUUGUCAAGCUGCUUGGUUACUGCUCGAACAAGUCUGUCAAGCUCUUGCUCUACAACUACGUCCCCAAUGGUAACCUGCAGGAGCUCCUCGGCGAGAACAGGAGCCUGGACUGGGACACACGGUACAAGAUCGCCGUCGGCGCGGCGCAGGGGCUGUCCUAUCUGCACCAUGACUGCGUCCCGGCGAUACUCCACCGGGAUGUCAAGUGCAACAACAUUCUGCUCGACUCCAAGUAUGAGGCCUACUUGGCUGACUUUGGGCUGGCCAAGCUAAUGAACUCCCCCAACUAUCAUCAUGCCAUGUCGCGCAUCGCCGGUUCUUACGGAUACAUUGCUCCAGAGUACGGCUACACCGCGAACAUCACCGAGAAGAGCGACGUGUACAGCUACGGCGUGGUGCUCCUGGAGAUCCUGAGCGGGCGCAGCGCCAUCGAGCCGAUGGUCAGCGACAGCCUCCACAUCGUGGAGUGGGCCAAGAAGAAGAUGGGGAGCUACGAGCCGGCGGUGAACAUCCUGGACCCCAAGCUGCGUGGCAUGCCGGACCAGCUGGUCCAGGAGAUGCUGCAGACGCUGGGCAUCGCCAUCUUCUGCGUGAACCCUGCGCCGGCGGAGCGGCCGACCAUGAAGGAGGUGGUGGCCUUCCUCAAGGAGGUGAAGAGCCCGCCGGAGGAGUGGGCCAAGACGUCGCAGCAGCCGCUCAUCAAGCCGGGCAGCCAGGAAGCCUGA
rnacentral:rRNA from 1 species